rnacentral:rRNA from 1 species
UACGUAGGGGGCAAGCGUUGUCCGGAAUUAUUGGGCGUAAAGCGCGUGUAGGCGGUCCGCUAAGUCGGCUGUGAAAGUCCAGGGCUCAACCCCGGGCUUGCGGUCGAUACGGGCAGGCUCGAGUUCGGUAGGGGAGACUGGAAUUCCUGGUGUAGCGGUGAAAUGCGCAGAUAUCAGGAGGAACACCGGUGGCGAAGGCGGGUCUCUGGGCCGAUACUGACGCUGAGGAGCGAAAGCCAGGGGAGCAAACGGG